CACUGCUCCGCAUGGCGCCCUUUUCUACAGGACAGAUGGCUUCCAGACAAAAAUCAAUGCUUACCUAAGAAGAGGUCAUACGAUAUAUUUGAAGAGGUUUAAAAGUACUCCCUACUGCACUGUAAAAAGACAAGGCCCCACCUGAUCCAUCCUGAUGCUCUAUUCCUUUCUGGAGAUUCUUUCAGCUGAGAUUCACUCUGAUGCGAAAAAGGACCCCAGAUUACAGGUCAGAAAUGCUUCAGGCAACUACAACUAUGUCGAAUGUCACACCAUACCUGUGGUGUCCUGUGUAUUUUGCGCCCUUGAUGUGGCCCACUCCCCUACACCCUGGGGUUGGACACACUCCCUG